GACGAACGCUGGCGGCGUGCUUAACACAUGCAAGUCGAACGGAAAGGCCCUGCUUUUGUGGGGUGCUCGAGUGGCGAACGGGUGAGUAACACGUGAGUAACCUGCCCUUGACUUUGGGAUAACUUCAGGAAACUGGGGCUAAUACCGGAUAGGAGCUCCUGCUGCAUGGUGGGGGUUGGAAGGUUUCGGCGGUUGGGGAUGGACUCGCGGCUUAUCAGCUUGUUGGGGGGGUAGUGGCUUACCAAGGCUUUGACGGGUAGCCGGCCUGAGAGGGUGACCGGCCACAUUGGGACUGAGAUACGGCCCAGACUCCUACGGGAGGCAGCAGUGGGGAAUAUUGCACAAUGGGCGGAAGCCUGAUGCAGCAACGCCGCGUGCGGGAUGACGGCCUUCGGGUUGUAAUCCGCUUUCGCCUGUGACGAAGCGUGAGUGACGGUAAUGGGUAAAGAAGCACCGGCUAACUACGUG
rnacentral:rRNA from 1 species